rnacentral:rRNA from 1 species
AUCUCUGUAGAGUCUGCAUAUCAAUAAGCGGAGGAAAAGAAACUAACAAGGAUUCCCUUAGUAACGGCGAGUGAAGCGGGAAGAGCUCAAAUUUGAAAUCUUCAAGGUUCUACCUUGACGAAUUGUAGUUUAAAGAAGUGUUUUCUGUUAGAUGAGUAGCAAAAGUUCCUUGGAAUGGGACAUCAUAGAGGGUGAGAAUCCCGUAUUUGGUUAUUCAUUCUAGCUUUGUGAUACACUUUCUAAGAGUCGGAUUGUUUGGGAAUGCAGUCCAAAAUGGGUGGUAAAUUUCAUCUAAAGCUAAAUAUUGGCGAGAGACCGAUAGCGAACAAGUACCGUGAGGGAAAGAUGAAAAGAACUUUGAAAAGAGAGUUAAACAGUACGUGAAAUUGUCAAAAGGGAAGCGUUUGACACCAGUGUUGUUUUCUCGAAAAUCAAUUACGAAUGGCUUGAUUUUGUGUUGUAUUGACCUUAUCAGCUUUCUUCACUUUUUUCGAGUCUUUCUUAAUGCACUUUUUGGUUAACAAGUCAACAUCAAUUUCUUUUGUUGUAAAAGAGUAUUCGGAAGGUGGCUUUCUUUUCGGAGAAAGUGUUUAUAGCCCUAUACUUCUACAAUCGGAGAGAUUGAGGUCUGCAGCGUAGAUCCUUCGGGGUUAGAUACACUUGUGCUAAGUUGUAGCUUUUCAUAGACAACUUGUUGACUAUGUUUAGUCAUGCGGCUUACUCGCUUGUGCUAUUUUACCUACGCUUAGGAUGUUGACUGAUAUGUAGUCGUA